UACGGAGGGUGCAAGCGUUAUCCGGAUUCACUGGGUUUAAAGGGUGCGUAGGUGGGCAGGUAAGUCAGUGGUGAAAUCCUGUAGCUUAACUACAGAACUGCCAUUGAUACUAUUGUCUUGAAUACCCUGGAGGUGAGCGGAAUAUGUCAUGUAGCGGUGAAAUGACUUAGAUAUGACAUAGAACAUCAUUGCGAAGGCAGCUCACUACGGGAAUAUUGACGCUGAGGCACGAAAGCGUGGGGAUCAAACAGG
rnacentral:rRNA from 1 species